GACGCCGAUGACACAAACACACACACCCUCUCUGCCUCUCACACACGGAGGAGGAGAGGAGGACGAGGAGGAGGAGAGAAGGAGGAGGAGAAGGAGAGAGAUGCCCGCUGGACGGAUGGAUUUUAUCUUCUCCGAGCUGCACGCGCCUCUGUGAGACAACAUGGGCUGCAUCGGAUCCCGGACCAUCACGGUGGAUGCUGUGCCGGUGCAGAAAGAUGGUGAUCAGUCGUCCAUGGAGGACACCUCUUCCAUCCUGCCUCGUCUCAAGAGGAAGCCCCCCCAGACCUAUGGGAUUGGUGCCCUGGCUAAGUCCUCUCUGACAGGUGUGUCAGGGGUUUCCCGCUCCAUGAAGGACAAAGUGACCAAGCCCACGGCCAUGGCCCAGGGCCGUGUGGCCCACAUGAUCGAGUGGCAGAGUUGGGGCAAACCGACGGCGGGGCCCCCGGGGAGCGCCGGACACGCCAACCUGCAGAGGGAGAAGGAGCGCAGGAUGGAGAACGACGCCUACAGCGACCUGAGCGACGGAGAGAAGGAGGCGCGCUUUGCUGCAGGCAUCAUGCAGCAGUUUGCCAUCUCCGAGGCGACUCUGUUCGGGUGGAACUCGAUGGACGGGGAGAGCAUGGGGACCGGCUCCAACCAGGGCAGCGUGGCUCACCUCAGCGAGGUCAACCAGGAGAGCAUCACCAGCAGAGACCAGGUGCUCCACCACUCCUCGGGGGACGUCUGGCCUCACACCUACGUCUCGCAGGGCCUGUACUGCCUGUCGUCCUCUGACGCCUGGGACCCCAUCACCAGCCAGCCCUCGGGCGUGGGCUCGGGCGUGGCCUCGCCCGCCGCCAGCUCGUACAUCAUGGCCGCCGGUGGCAGCGGGGCGCCGGGGACGCCCGGCGAGGUGUUUGAGGGGACGGUGGGCGGCUACCUUCAGCAGCACCACCCUCAUUUAACGCUGCAGCAGCAGAGCCAACUGCACCAGCUCCAACAUCUCCACCAGUACCAGCAGCAGCUGAUUCAGUACCAGCAGCAGCAGCAGUCUCUGGAGCACAGGCUACACAGCGCCUCCCACUCCCUCCAAGCCACCCCCAACAGCACCAUCCACAGCCUCGGCCCUCCCACCCACCCCCGGCUAGCUGACCUGUGGGGAGCGGCGCAGGUCGAGGCACAUCACCCGGUGGCGUCUUGGGGCAUUAAUCAGUCGACCCUUCCUGGGUGCAGGUGGACGUUGUCGGGCAGAUGAACGGCCAGGUGGUUGACAUGGCGGGAGGACUGGUGGGAACCUUGGGGGAGGAGCCGGAGCUCGAGCUCGACGACGCCCCCGAUCGGUACGAAGAGGAAGACGAGGAGCUGACGAAGGUGGACGAGGUGACAUUGACCCUGGAGCCGGAGCCCUACUCUUUGGCCCCGUCCCCGCUGAGGGAGGAGGGGCCCCCCAGCAGGAGCUUGAGUCCGGGCUCGCCGGCGGCCGGGAGGACGCCCUUCAAGGUCACGCCCUG